UUGUCCUACGGGGGGCAGCAGUAGGGAAUUUUCGUCAAUGGGCGCAAGCCUGAACGAGCAAUGCCGCGUGAACGAGGAAGGUCUUCGGAUCGUAAAGUUCUGUUGAAGGGGAAAAAGAGCGGAGAGAGGAAAUGGUCUCCGAUUGAUAUUACCCUUCGAGGAAGUCACGGCUAACUACGUGCCAGCAGCCGCGGUAAUACGUAGGUGGCGAGCGUUAUCCGGAAUGAUUGGGCGUAAAGGGUGCGUAGGCGGUCUGUUAAGUCAGCGGUCAAAGCCCGGGGCUCAACCCCGGCCCGCCGUUGAAA
rnacentral:rRNA from 1 species